GAUGAACGCUGGCGGCGUGCCUAAUACAUGCAAGUCGAGCGAACGGACGAGAAGCUUGCUUCUCUGAUGUUAGCGGCGGACGGGUGAGUAACACGUGGAUAACCUACCUAUAAGACUGGGAUAACUUCGGGAAACCGGAGCUAAUACCGGAUAAUAUUUUGAACCGCAUGGUUCAAAAGUGAAAGACGGUCUUGCUGUCACUUAUAGAUGGAUCCGCGCUGCAUUAGCUAGUUGGUAAGGUAACGGCUUACCAAGGCAACGAUGCAUAGCCGACCUGAGAGGGUGAUAGGCCACACUGGAACUGAGACACGGUCCAGACUCCUGCGGGAGGCAGCAGUAGGGAAUCGUCCGCAAUGGGCGAAAGCCUGACGGAGCAACGCCGCGUGAGUGAUGAAGGUCUUCGGAUCGUAAAACUCUGUUAUUAGGGAAGAACAUAUGUGUAAGUAACUGUGCACAUCUUGACGGUACCUAAUCAGAAAGCCACGGCUAACUACGUG
rnacentral:rRNA from 1 species